rnacentral:rRNA from 1 species
AUGCGCGAGUGUGUUAUCUCCUUCUUCGGCAACAUUCUCAUCUUCAGCAAAACCCUGACUGAGCACAUCCAGCACAUUGCACGCGUGCUUCAGCUACUCAGAGACGACCACUAGCAAGUUAAACAGUCCAAGUGCUCCUUCGCUCAGCGCCAGAUCGCCUACUUGGGCCAUGUGAUAGAUGAGCGCGGCGUCUCUACCGACCCCAGCAAGGUUCAGACAAUCCAACAGUGGCCUACUCCCCAAUGCGCCAAAGACGUGCGCAUCUUCCUUGGCCUUGCCGGCUAUUAUCGGAAUUUUGUCCAACAUUUUGGGAUCAUCUCAAGACCACUGUUCACCUUGCUCAAGAAAAACCAUCAAUUUGUUUGGACAAGCAACACACAGAAGGCGUUUGAAGCUCACCUCUGCACCUGUACUGUAACUUCCAGAUUUCAGUAA